rnacentral:rRNA from 1 species
GAUGAACGCUGGCGGCGUGCCUAAUACAUGCAAGUCGAGCGAACAGACGAGGAGCUUGCUCCUCUGACGUUAGCGGCGGACGGGUGAGUAACACGUGGAUAACCUACCUAUAAGACUGGGAUAACUUCGGGAAACCGGAGCUAAUACCGGAUAAUAUAUUGAACCGCAUGGUUCAAUAGUGAAAGACGGUUUUGCUGUCACUUAUAGAUGGAUCCGCGCCGCAUUAGCUAGUUGGUAAGGUAACGGCUUACCAAGGCAACGAUGCGUAGCCGACCUGAGAGGGUGAUCGGCCACACUGGAACUGAGACACGGUCCAGACUCCUACGGGAGGCAGCAGUAGGGAAUCUUCCGCAAUGGGCGAAAGCCUGACGGAGCAACGCCGCGUGAAUGAUGAAGGUCUUCGGAUCGUAAAACUCUGUUAUUAGGGAAGAACAAAUGUGUAAGUAACUACGCACGUCUUGACGGUACCUAAUCAGAAAGCCACGGCUAACUACGUG